UACGAAUUUGUAGUACGACUAUGAUUUACGCAUGUCGUUGUAUUUGGUUCUUGUCUUGUGGAGUCCAGUGUCUGAUGUCAUAUAUGGUCUAGGUGUACGCGCGAGUAUGGUGUGAUGUGUGACGUUUAUGGUAUGUGGUGCAUGCAGGAGUACGCGUUGUCAGAGUGUGAGGAUGUGCUUCCGUCUGUGUGAGAGUGACUGUCCAGUGAAUGCAGUACAUGCGCAGUGCUAGUUUGGUCUGGGAAUGAGAGUCGUGUGUGAUUCGUCCGUGGUCUGGUUGUCUUGGUCUUGGUCAUGUGUUCUGUAUGUAUUAGUCCCUGAUUGGUCGUCACGAUUUGUCCUCGGUUUAUUACUGCUUGUUCUUUGUUGAUCCUCUGAGUCUUUUCCCGGGAGUCUUUCCCGUCGUCGUUUUCUGUCUAGUCUUUUCGUCUUUCUCCUCCUGUGCCCUCGCCGUUUAUUAUUGAAGUGAAUACUAGUAUGGAAGCUAACGGAAUGGUGCGUUGUUGAGUGACCGGGGCCAGGGGGAGAAGCCUACAACCAUUUCCUUUACAGUGGCGCCCAACGGUAUUUCGACGCGGAGUACUGCCUCCGCAGUCCACGACCCUGGGAUCGUUUGGUUUUCGGCGUGGCUUCAGUUUGUGCUCGCCGUUUUGAAAUAUAUUUUAUUUCUCUCGUCGACCAACUCACUUCACCGAGAUUGCUACUACGGCCAUGGAGAUGGAAAGGCGUUCGCCAGCCUGGCCUGCAGGCCCCUUACCCGCCGUACAAGCUUGCCAUACGGUCGGUCGUCAGGCUCACAACUACCCGACAACCAAGGGCCUUACUGUUUCUUUUCUCUGAUGUUGGUCAUUUGUUCUGCCUGUUCUUUAUUUUCCCUGAGUCGAGAGUCGAGGUCGACUCUCGCCGGAGGGGAAGGCUAUGUUACGAAUUUGUAGUACGACUAUGAUUUACGCAUGUCGUUGUAUUUGGUUCUUGUCUUGUGGAGUCCAGUGUCUGAUGUCAUAUAUGGUCUAGGUGUACGCACGAGUAUGGUGUGAUGUGUGACGUUUAUGGUAUGUGGUGCAUGCAGGAGUACGCGUUGUCAGAGUGUGAGGAUGUGCUUCCGUCUGUGUGAGAGUGACUGUCCAGUGAAUGCAGUACAUGCGCAGUGCUAGUUUGGUCUGGGAAUGAGAGUCGUGUGUGAUUCGUCCGUGGUCUGGUUGUCUUGGUCUUGGUCAUGUGUUCUGUACGUAUUAGUCCCUGAUUGGUCGUCACGAUUUGUCCUCGGUUUAUUACUGCUUGUUCUUUGUUGAUCCUCUGAGUCUUUUCCCGGGAGUCUUUCCCGUCGUCGUUUUCUGUCUAGUCUUUUCGUCUUUCUCCUCCUGUGCCCUCGCCGUUUAAUAUUGAAGUGAAUACUAGUAUGGAAGCUAA